rnacentral:rRNA from 1 species
UACGGAGGGUGCAAGCGUUAUCCGGAUUCACUGGGUUUAAAGGGUGCGUAGGUGGGCAGGUAAGUCAGUGGUGAAAUCUCCGGGCUUAACCCGGAAACUGCCGUUGAUACUAUUUGCCUUGAAUAUCGUGGAGGUAAGCGGAAUAUGUCAUGUAGCGGUGAAAUGCUUAGAUAUGACAUAGAACACCGAUUGCGAAGGCAGCUUACUACACGAUCAUUGACACUGAGGCACGAAAGCGUGGGGAGCAAACAGG